AUGCUAUUUUUGCUGUCUGUUCUCUGUAGGCAGGAGUACGCUGCCCUGAAGCAGUCCUUCCUGGGUUAUUGUCUGGAAGUUGAGGAGAGAGUUCAGACACACCUGAAAGAGGGAACACCAGUGCAAAACAAGGAACUUGCCAUGAAGGGCUGCGUGAGAUGGCUCCUGCUCAAGGCAGGCAUUCUGCCACCCUGCAAAGUCCAUCAGAUGAGACUGAAAUGGUGA
rnacentral:lncRNA from 1 species